AGCGAACGCUGGCGGCAGGCCUAACACAUGCAAGUCGAACGAACUCUUCGGAGUUAGUGGCGGACGGGUGAGUAACACGUGGGAACGUGCCUUUAGGUUCGGAAUAACUCAGGGAAACUUGUGCUAAUACCGAAUGUGCCCUUCGGGGGAAAGAUUUAUCGCCUUUAGAGCGGCCCGUGUCUGAUUAGCUAGUUGGUGAGGUAAAGGCUCACCAAGGCGACGAUCAGUAGCUGGUCUGAGAGGAUGAUCAGCCACAUUGGGACUGAGACACGGCCCAAACUCCUACGGGAGGCAGCAGUGGGGAAUCUUGCGCAAUGGGCGAAAGCCUGACGCAGCCAUGCCGCGUGAAUGAUGAAGGUCUUAGGAUUGUAAAAUUCUUUCACCGGGGACGAUAAUGACGGUACCCGGAGAAGAAGCCCCGGCUAACUACGUGCCAGCCGCCGCAGUAA
rnacentral:rRNA from 1 species